AUGCUUGUGGAUUUCUUACUGUAAAGCAGAAGAGGAAGUGUAAGGAUGGUUUGCCAUCAGAACCAAGACCUUCCCGUCGUGCUCGUGUUAGAACUACCACUGCCGAGAACAUUAGUGAUGGAAUUGUGGAUUCCAAAGUGGAGGAAAAAGCAAAUGGGGUGCAUGAGAAGUGCUUGGCAAGCUUACAGUCUAAUUCAAGUUGAAGUUUCUGUUAUUAUCUUUUAUAUUGGUUAAUAACAUUUACUAAUUUUUCUUUGUGCUUUCUCUGAGCCAAAUAUUCUUGGCUAUUGACCUUAAAUAAAAAAAAAAAUUUCUUGGCUGUCACUUACAUCUGGUUUUCUUGGAUUUGUUUCUGCUUUUGGACGAGUAUUCAUAUCUUGCUAUUAUAUAUGUUAACAAUUCUCAAAUUUGUUAACUUCCUAAGUAAACUUAGGCUCCAUUUGGUUCACCGAAAAUGAUUUGAUGGAGGUCAUUUCCCCUAUUUUCUUAUUUUUUAUUGGAGAAAAGGAAAAUCAACUGAAAGAUCUUUUUUCAGUUAAAAGAAAAUAAUGCAAAGAAAAAAACGAGAAAACAACCUCUUAAGACAAAGCAGUUGUUGUCCUUUGACUGUACAAACUGUGUGUAUGCAUUUUUAUCCAAAAACCAAGGAUUACAGUUUGGAAAAAGAAGUUGUCGUUUGACAUAAAGUAACUUGAUUACAGAGCCUUAGUUUUUGGAUUAGUUACUUAUAUGCACAUAUAUUUGCUGAGAAGGCCAAUAUGAAAUACAAUUUCCCUUUGCCUGGGUAGAGUCGUCAAACAUAAUUCAAAGAAAUACAUUUCCUUAAAUAGGAUAAGUAAAAGGGUAACAAGUGCUGCCCUGUUUCAACUGUUGUAGAUAGAUCGUGCUCCUUGAAUGCUAGAGAACACAAAUAUCUAUAGCUUUUUCAAGAUUAUAAUAAGGUCGUUUAUUGUAUUUGAGAUUAUAGGUCGUAUCAAGUUCUGUCAUUUUUUUGAAUGUUAAAUGUUACUGUUUACACUAAAAUGUCAGAGCCCCAUUACAGGUUCUGUCCCGUCUUACUCCUUUUGAAAGGGGAAUAUACGAGGAUUAUGUGGCCAACUUUUGGUGCACCACAUCUGUAUUUAUAAAAUGGAAGAGAUUAUUUACAACACAAUCAUUAAAGUCUCUCAGCUUAGCUGCAGCUCUUUUUACUUGCUUACAUUCAAUGGUUCAGCAAGUACGCGCCCCAGCAGCGAAGGUUUCCUCUAUGCAUUGCUAAAUAGUUCUUUUGCAUUCUACUUGUUUUCGUUCCAAGGUAUGUUCAACUUUUUCUUUCAUUUGGCAAUUUAGUUUUCUUGUGCUUUAACAUUUUUUAAACUAUAUAUAUAUGCAGUUCACGAGAAGUCAAUUCUGCUGUCUCUUCUCCCUGCAAGCCUGCUGGCCCUUAAAAUGCCUGAUCCUUUCAGUUGGUUAACACAUUAUGCUCUAUUCUCUAUAUUUCCUCUUCUUUGUUGCAACAAGCUGGUGCUGCCAUAUGUUGCCAUAAGUGCACAGUUUUUUUCUUUUCCUUCAUGCACCCUGUGGACUUCGUGGAAGAUUCAAUACAAAAGAUACCUGUUUUCCUAGCAGCACUUUCCCUACUCCCCUUUCUAUUUUAAUUUGCAUUAUUUAUUUUUGCUUCCUCAUUCUUCAUGUUAUUUACUUAAAAGUGCAGCUUCCAAGAAAGCAUCCUUUCCUCUUUGAAGCAGUGAUCAUGCUUCUCUGCUUCUCUUACUUCGUGUUAUUUACUCUGUAUGCCAAUUUGAAGAAAUGGAUGUUGUCAAGACAGUCAACAUCAGGGGAUACAGAAAAGAAAACGCUGUGAUUCUUGUUUCUACUACUAGGCUUAUCCCUAGGUUCUUCCUUUUAACUCUUUUUUUUCAAUACAAAAAAAAACAGAAAUUAGAUAUGAUGGGGGCUGCUAAAUGUGUAAGAGCAUGCCAUUUUAUAGUGAAGAGAGCCUCCCGGGACUAAGAAGCAUUUUAAUUUGUCCAAUGAAAACGAAGGGACUCGUGUUAAUAUUUUUGUUGAACACCCUCUUCAAGAACAUCAACCCCGGGAACUGAUUGACCUUAACUUACAUGUCCCUCAGGACAAAACUGAUAGACCCUUCAUGAAGGAAGUUACAGAAGAACAGCAUGAUCAAACAUGCAAGCAGCAAGAGGAUCCCAUCUGGCUAAAGGAACCCAAUAAUGUGACUUGCUCUGACCUCUAGUCCAACGUGAAUGUUCGCAGACAGAUCACAAGAAAUAGACCUCUGACUACUAAAGCGCUUGAAGCCCCUGCUUGUGGAUUUCUUACUGUAAAGCAGAAGUGUAAGGAUGGUUUGCCAUCAGAACCAAGACCUUCCCGUCAUGCUCGUGUUAGACCUACCACUGCUGAGAACAUUAGUGAUGGAAUUGUGGAUUCCAAAGCAGAGGAAAAAGUUAAUAGGGUGCAUGAUAGUAACGGAGAAGUGCUCAGCAAGCUUACAGUCUAAUUCAACUUGAAGUUGGUUGAUUGUUCAUUUGUUGACGUGACAAAAAUCGAACUUCCAGCAGUCUUUCAUCUGUUUUCUCUGGAAGACUCUGGCAUUGCAUGUAUGAUUCCAGAUGCAUGAAUCAGAGAUGAUUAUGCUGGUAUUGAAUACUCAAAGAAGCUGAGGAACCGCCAUUGAAGGUAUCAACAAAAAGUUAAUCGAGAACUAAACCUAAUUAAUUUUGAUUUACCAUUAUAUUUAACUAAAAACUUGUAUCUAUUUCAUUUUCUUUC
rnacentral:lncRNA from 1 species